rnacentral:rRNA from 1 species
UAGGGAAUCUUCCACAAUGGACGCAAGUCUGAUGGGCAACGCCGCGUGAGUGAGAAGGUUUUCGGAUCGUAAAGCUCUGUUGUUGGUGAAGAAGGAUAGAGGCAGUAACCGGUCUUUAUUUGACGGUAAUCAACCAGAAAGUCACGGCUAACUACGUGCCAC